AAGAGACAGCAGUCGCCACGGUAAUACGAAGGGUGCAAGCGUUAAUCGGAAUUACUGGGCGUAAAGCGUGCGUAGGCGGUUUGUUAAGUCUGCUGUGAAAUCCCCGGGCUCAACCUGGGAAUGGCAGUGGAUACUGGCAAGCUAGAGUGUGUCAGAGGAUGGUGGAAUUCCCGGUGUAGCGGUGAAAUGCGUAGAGAUCGGGAGGAACAUCAGUGGCGAAGGCGGCCAUCUGGGACAACACUGACGCUGAGGCACGAAAGCGUGGGAGCAAACAGGAUUAGAUACCCGUGUAGUCCCUGUCUCUUAUACA
rnacentral:rRNA from 1 species